rnacentral:lncRNA from 10 species
CAGGUCAACUCUACUACUAAACAGAAAAGCAAGGACCAAAAUUCAGAUCUUUGUGACCCUCAAUGCCACUAUGCCAUGCGAUGAUGCCUGCCUCUUUUAGAGGCCAACUAAUAGCAGGCCAACUUGAUUUUCUUGAGGAAUGGCCGAAUGGAAGUUGAAUGGUUGAAGGUGACUGGCAAACAGAGAAACAAGGCACCAAGAACUGGCUAUUUCCAAACGUGGGCAAUCAGCUUCUGAAUGAAUAGUUCAGAAUGAUGCAGCUCUGGAUGUUGGAAAGGACAAUUCCGGCGUUUUACUCUUCUGACCAGUUUCUUCGUUUUCAUAACUCUACUUGAAGAACAUAUGAUGUUUGCCAGUGUCUGACAUUACGGACCUCACAGCUUACUGAAUCUGAAAACAGGAGAUAGAGAUGGAAAGGAAAGCCUCAGGAACUUGUUGCAAUAGGGACUGCCAGGUCCCGUUGCACUAUUGGUGGAAGAGAGGUCCACACGGUGCCUACGAUAAGCGAUUUGUUCGUAUCUAUCCAGACUGCAGGUGCAUACAGCCACUCAUCCUCAAAUGCCAUCCUCAGGAGUUUAUGCUGCACACAGACUGGCACAUGUGCAGGAAGACAUAGUGCAGGGCUACGUGCUACAACAUUGUUGGUGACAGCAACAUAUUGGAAGCAACCUGAAUUUUUGUUAAUAGAGGAUUGGCUACAUAAAUGAUGCUAAUCUAUACAACUGGAGUACUAUGAUGCCAUAAAAAAGAAUGUACAAGGUCUUUACGUUUGGAAAGAUCUCUAAGAUAUAAUGACCUGAACCUCAGGAGAUCUGGAGUAUGUGCUGAAUUCUACUGGGAACUGAGCCCUCUGAAUAUUAUUAUUGUUUUGCUAAUACUUUUUGCUGGAAAGUACAUCAAACCAGGAUGUGUUGUACCUCUUGCUUUGCCAGACUAUUUAAAAGCAAAAGUGACCAGAUAUCCAACUUAAGGCUGAUCCAGGUUUUUCAUGAUCUAGCCAGGGGAGACAAACCUUCCAGGAAAGUCUCUAGCGAAGGCCAAGGAUUUUAGAAAGUAUCUGUGAACAAAGAAAUGCAAUGUUAGUGGGCUAAUUUCCAUAAUCAAAUGAAGCUGAUGCAAGUGCUUUGUGAAUUGAUGCCCAUCAACGAGAGACUGGAUAAAGAAAAUGUGGCACAUAUACGCCAUGGAAUACUAUGUAGCCGUAAAAAUGAACAAGUUCAUGUCCUUUACAGGGACAUGGAUGAAGCUGGAAAUCAUCAUCCUCAGCCAAUUAACCCAGGAACAGAAAACCAAACACCACAUGUUCUCACUCAUAAGUGGGAGCUGAACAAUAAGAACACGUGAACACAGGGAGGGAAACAUCACAUAGCAGGGCCUGUUGGUGGGCCGGGGGCAAGGGAAGGGAGAGCAUUAGGACAAAUAUCUAAUGCAUGCGGGGCUUAAAACCUAGAUGACGGGUUGAUAGGUGCAGCAAACCACCAUGGCACACGUAUACCUGUGUAACAAACCUGCACAUUCUGCACAUGUAUCCCAGAACUUAAAAAAAAAAAGAAAUGCUUUGUGAAUUAGUCAGGUUCACUGAUGGGAGCUUUGGUCCUGGCACCUGAGGACUGAGCUGGGGGAACCCACACCCAGGCUGCCCAAACACACAGAGGCAGGAGAGGUCAAGGGGCAUCUCGUGGGUGUGGAGUUUUGGACACGGUAUUGCCAUUGUCAGACAUGUGGCUAAGCCUGCAAGGAUGAGAGAGGAAGGAGGAAACCAGCUCCUCUCAACCCUGCAUCAGCCUGAGUGCUUUCAAUCUCUCUCAACCCUUCUCCUCUCUUUUCUCUUUUCUCCUUCCCUCCUUCCCUGAUGGUUUGCCAGGAAGCACAGAAUAAUGGAGUUCAGUGUUACUCAAGGGGCAGUCACCUGCACAGUCAUUACCGGAAUGACGUGUUUCAUCAGAUGUUUCAAAUCCCGAUUCUUGGGGCCUGCUCUAAACCUGCCUACCAAGGCUCUAGGGGCGAGGCCUGGGGACCUGCAUUGUUUGCAAACACCCACAGGUGAUUCUUACAUGCACGAAGCCAGGGAAGCAUUGAUAGAAAAGGUCUUAGACCAGCAGCCAAAAAACCCAAGUUCAAAUCCAUUUACUACCUGGGUGGUCUUGGGCAAGUUACUUAUUAAUUCCCGGCAUGGGAGUCAAUACUACUUUAUAGGAAUUUUUUAUAAGUUAUAGGAGAUACGCUGUUAUGUUAUAGGAGUUAUUUUUUUCUCUUUGAAGAUUAAAAGAGACAAAACAUAUGACAAGGCUGGCAAACAUUGAGCUCUUGCUACAUAGUAGUACACAGUGCCCUAGAGAGUUAGCAAAGGGACGGUGAGCUCACAAAAAUCUUUGUAGGCCUCAGGAUAUAUAUAUUUUGCAGUGACUUUCAAGGCUGAUCUAACUCUCUUUGGAUGAACACAGAGCAAGGAGACUUGCCCACUGAGUGACUUUACUAUACCCCCAGGCCUUACUAACUUGCCCAGGAGUGGGGAAUAUAGUGCUAGAAGGAAGCCAAAGCAAUAAAGAGACACUUUCAGAAAAGCAGGCACUGCAAAGACAACCAUUCCAGCUGGAAGAGCAUGUGGUGGGAGUGGCGUCCUCUCAGACAUGAUCCUCUGCAGGGCUCAUGGGCUCAAAGUCACAGGUUCUCACCAAGGGUGAUGAUUUCCCACAGGGAGCAUCUAGCAACGUCUGGAGACAUUUUUGUCACAGGGUAGGGAAAGGGGGUUGCUACUAGCAUGCAGUGAACAGAGGCCAGAGAGGCUGCUAAACAUCCUACGGUACACUGGACAGUCUUCCACAACAGAAAACUGUCUGGCCCCAAAUGUUCAUGGUUUCAAGGCUGAAAAACACUGCUCUAAGCUAAUGCAGAAGACUUAGUCAUGGGUGAUAGAAGGAGGCCCCUAGGUGGCUACAAACCUCUGAGGGACAGCCUUCCGCUGUGGUGUUGCAAAGUCUCCCAGUUGCACAAGGUCCUGGCGUCCUGCUCAUUGGUGGAUCACCAUUAACCACCUUGCACGUCACAUGUUCAACAUAGCUAGUUUCCCACCCAUUCUUAACGAUGAUAAAUCAGGAAAAGCAUUCUUAGAACACUAGAAAAGCAGAAGUGUGGCUCUCUACAGGGCAGCGGGGAGGUUGCCUCACUCCUAGAAGAUGUCUUGUUUUUACCAAGAGGGUAGAGGGAUGAGAGGAGCUGGAAGACCACGCUGAGGAGCCACGUCCAGACACAUGAAACGAACCUCACAGCCCCACAAGGAUGCCGGGGAGGGCACUCAGUGCUUGGGAUCAGAGCCACGUGGCCACUGGUUUCCGAUGCCCCUUUGCUAGUAUCUGGCUUCCGUGAUUCCCUUGCCUUCAUUUUGUGGCUCUCUCCUGACACUGCCGGCUGAGUGUCUUAGUUAACCAGUAAUCUGGCUUUUCUCCCUCCACUUUGAUCUUCCUGUCUCUGCCUGUCUCCUCUUUCCUGGCAUGGCAUGUGCUCUCGGGCUGUACCUCUGGUAGUGAAUCUCUGGCUGCCCUGGACUCCUGCUGUGCACACUGCCCUGUGUGCAGGUCUGGAUGCCUGGUGUUCCUUCUCAGUGCACCGCCCGAUCCCCUGGGAUCUCUUCACCAUUUUCAUGCAUGGUGCCACCCCACGUGCAGGGCCAGCUUCAUGGCACGUCACCUGUGUGCUUGCAUAGGACUUGGUGCUCAGAAGGACUUCUUGAUGGGUUUCAUGCUCUGCGGCCACCGUAUUAAAAUUGUAAUAAUUUCCUCUUGAAACUUGUAUUUUGUAAGUGACUUCUGAUGAGACAGCAUGGAAUGAGCAGAAACACAGGAGAUACGUGUGCCUGUCCUUUCUUGUCACCCUAUUCACAUGGAGCAUUCGCCAUGAACUCAGAAUUCUGGUGUAUUCACAAUGUGUGGGAGUUCAUGAAGCUUCUAAGUGACUCCCAAGUGUGUUUUGUCUAUGAUGAGUUAGCUGGGGAGGGGGAGGGACACUGACAGCCCUGAGAGGCCACACUUUCCAUUUGAAAACCAAAACUUGCUUCAAACACAAAGGCAGCAGUGGUAUUCUAAGAAACACAUAUGACCAAGGAAACUUGGUUUGACCUUUCUUACUCAUGUUACUUCUUUGCAUUUGCAAACAACUUAAACUGAAAAUGAAGACACAGAAAGAAAUAGAAAGAUAAGGCAACCCAUAGGCCUUUUUUAAAUUCUUCCUUACUUGUCAGUAAGCCAAAGGUAGAGAGCAUUGAUAGAACGUGCAUGUAUCAGGCCGGGCACGGUGGAUUACGCCUGUAAUCCCAGCACUUUGGGAGGCCGAGGUGGUGGAUCACCUGAGGUCAGGAGUUUGAGACUAGCCUGGCCAACAUGGCAAAACCCUGUCUCUACUAAAAAUACAAAAAUUAGCAGGGUGUGGUGCCGGGUGCCUGUAAUCCCAGCUACUCGGGAGGCUGAAGCAUGAGAAUCAUUUGAACCCAGGAGGCAGAGGUUGCAGUGAACUGAGAUCAUGCCACUGCACUCCAGCCUGGGUGACAGAGAGGGACUCUGUCUCAAAAAAAAAAAAAAAGAAUGUGCAUUAUUGAGAAGCGAAAUAAAAGCAUUGAAUUAGUUUUGUGCAGCAUUUUCCACUGUUCUGGUAAGAAUGAAAUAUGCAAAUUGCAUCAUUUGGAACAAUUUAGCAUACAAAUUAAAUGCUCUUAUAUUUUCGUUUAAAGCUGGCUUUGCACAAUAUAAAGAUGAAUGGUAAGAUUCAUGCUAACAAUUUAAAAUUUUAAUUUUCCUUUACUUAGAGUGGCAUUAAAUAGCGAAUAAGAAUGAUUUUAAAAGCCUUGUGACAAGUCAAAAGAGAGACUGCAGAAGAAAAAAAGCGGCUUUUAUUUUAGUACCUUUCACAGCAGAGGUUGUUUUUGUUCCUGCUUUUGAAAAAGGGCUCCUACAUUUUCGGUUUGCACUGGCAAACCUUUUAAUGAAACAGUAAAGCAAAGUUCCUUACAUUAAAAAGGAGUCAUUUUUAAUCUCCCAGUCUACAUAGACCCAAUUUUCAUUUUAACAAGUUUC